rnacentral:lncRNA from 1 species
AUUUUAAUAUGUGAUCAGUAUAAAAAUACUGAGGUAUUUUGUAUUUUUUCAUAUUAAAUCUGAGUGAUUCCUACUUGGACCUUUAAUCUGUGGGGUGUUUUGUUUUAUUUAUUCUUUUUUUGGAGACAGAGUCUCACUCUGUUGCCCAGGCUGGAGUGCAGUGGUACAAUAAUAGUUCACUGCAGCCUCAAACUCCUGGGCUCAACAAUUCUCCCACCUCAGCCUCCCAGGUAGCUGGGACUGCAGGUGUGUGUCACCACGCCUGGCUAAUUUUUUUUGAAUUUUUAUUUGUAGAGGCAGAGUCGAGCUAUGUUGCCCAGGCUAGUCUUGAGCUCCUAUCCUCAAGUGAUCCUCCCUCCUUGGCUUCCCAAGAAUGCUGGGAUUGCAGGCAUGAGCCACCAUGCCCCAGCCUAAAUCCAGUGUUUAUUUUAUACUUAAAGUACAUCUCAGUUUGUACCAGCUACAUUUCAAGUGUUCGUUAGCCACAUAUGUCUAGGGGCCACCCUAUUGCACAGCCAAAUCUAUACUCACCAGCUCUGAUUCCUCUUCUCCCAUUUCUCCCACUCAAAUCAGACUUUGGCCUUCACUACACCUGAUUUCUCUUUGCCAAGGUCAUCAGUGGCUUCCAUGGUCACUUCCAUGGUCAGUUCUAAACUGACUUGUCCCAUCAGCAGCAUUUAGCAGAGCAGAUCACCCCUUUCUUCUAGAAACACUCUUCAUUGGCUUCUGGGAUUCUUCUUUGAAGGAGUUUUCCUGUUACUUCACUGCCUGCUACUUCUCAGCCUCCUUUG